ensembl:lncRNA
GUCACCCUGGAAGCCCUGUUUUUUGGUUUUUUUUUUAAUUAAUCUUUAUUGGUGUAUGGUUUUUAUGUUUAUAGUUGUUUACUUAUCCAUUUACCACUGGAUAAGCAUUUACAUAUCUUAUUUUCUCUUGGGUAAAUACCUACAAGUGGGAUGGCUGGGUCAUAGGGGAAGUGUACACUGAAUUUUUAAAUAACCACCAAAUUGUCUUUCAAAGCGGUGGUGCCAUUUCAUGUUCCUGCCAGGGAUGCAUGGGAGUUCCAGUUGCUCUGUAUCCUCGCCAGCAUUCAGUGUUAUCAGUGACUUCUUUUUGUCUUAUUUGAUAGGCCAAGAGUCACACUGUCCUAGGAAAGGAGAAGUUAGAGUGGACUCAGAGGUAAUCCAAGGAAAGUUCCUAUAAGACAGGAACAGAAAAUAGAAGAAGAAAACAUCAGCGAGAGGUCAGAUGCUAAAGCCCUGACUUCCCCUACCCAGCUUUGCUUCACAUUGGCACCGUAAGGGCUGUGAAGAAAAAAAAAAAAAACCUCCAGAAUGUUUGGGAGAAAGAAAACCAGAGACAUUUGUACCCCAGUCUGAAUUUGAGAUUUGAAAGGAGGUUGCCUACUCGAGUAUGCCGUGUCAACAAGCAGUCUGACAGCCGCACAGAGGAAGACAAAAGGGAAGUUACACAGAAUAAA